UUAUCUUAGUGAUUUACCUCUCUUCCUCUAUCCAGAUGUAGAGAGAGCACCUUCCUCACAGGCCAAUAGUGUGACAAGGCUGUGAUAUCCAGUCCUUGAAUUCUGCCAGCUACGACGCUUUCUUGAUCUGUACGUUUUCCCUUACAAAUGUACUAUAGUUUGGAGAAACAGCAUCUAAACAUCCAUGUAGUAGGUCAGAACUUUCUUUGUUGUGGGCUUUUUCAGCACGAUUUAUCUUGAUGAACAUUCUCAGAAUGGCAGCUUGCCUUGAUGUUGGCAUAGCUCAUGCAUGUAUGUUCAGGACUCCAUUCAACAAAAUAGCUGCAUUUGAAAUUCCUGAAGCUAAUUGUGCUGCUACUUUAAAAAAAAAAUAUAAAAAAAUUCUAAUCUGACCUAGAGGUAAGUUUCUGUGGGGCUUAGCCCUAGGCCUAGCUUUCGUGGUUCUCUCUGCCUGCAUCAGUACGCAGGAACAGCCAGCAACUGAUGCUGUCCUCGGCCACCAGCUAUCCUUCAGCGCAUGUUUUACCGACACAUCUCAGCACGAGCAAACUGUUUAGAAGAAAACUCUGACCUAUUG
rnacentral:lncRNA from 1 species